GGGAUGAUUAUUCCUCCUGUCUCUUUAGUGUGACUAAAGGCCAAUCAGCCUUUCUGAGGCAGUCCCUUUCUUAGGUGAUGGACCAGCCCAACUGGAUUAACUCCUAGGUGAGGAGAAGAGGGCAUGUAGACUCUUCUUUUGACCAAAAGGCUGACAUGAUGGAGGACGAGUCUAUCUUAUGAGAGCUGAUAGCACUGGGCUGCCCUCUAGGUAGCACCACAGCUAAAGACUUCAUGUAAGUCAAAGAGAGAAGCUCAAGAACUUCAUGAAAACAAGCAAAUGGAGGAAGCAGACUCUACCGAGGACUGUUCUAUGGAGCCCAUAUGUGACACAGGCACAGCUCAGCCUUGAGACUCGACUUCCCGCAGUGAACACAGUCUCAGGGAAAUACCAGCACCGAGGAACUGCAGCAGUAACCUGUCUGCGCUCCUGCAAAAGCCUCAGAGUGGGAGCCUUGACACCUGCAGUCAGCUCCGGGAUAAUGAAACGGCCCUUUGGAUUUUCCAUCCGAAUCUGUUUUUCCUUUGCACAGAGACUGAACUUCCUUCCAAACGUGUCUCUCACUAGGAAAUGACAACAAUUAUGAGCCCUCUGAGAUUUAAAAUCUGAAACCCAAAUUAUCAAGCCUUAAUAAAAGCCUAAUAAAUUC